rnacentral:rRNA from 2 species
UGUCGUCAGCUCGUGUCGUGAGAUGUUGGGUUAAGUCCCGCAACGAGCGCAACCCUUACUGUUAGUUGCUACGCAAGAGCACUCUAGCAGGACUGCCGUUGACAAAACGGAGGAAGGUGGGGACGACGUCAAAUCAUCAUGCCCCUUAUGACCUGGGCUACACACGUACUACAAUGGCCGUUAACAGAGAGAAGCGAUACCGCGAGGUGGAGCGAACCUCAAAAAGCGGUCUCAGUUCGGAUUGCAGGCUGAAACCCGCCUGCAUGAAGUUGGAAUUGCUAGUAAUCGCGGAUCAUAAUGCCGCGGUGAAUACGUUCCCGGG